AUGGUCGUGCUUUCUGUGCCCACCGAAGUCACCGUGAUCCCAUUAGACAUGGAAGGUACCACACCACUGUUGCUUUCUUGAAGGACAUUUUAUUCCCUUACCUCAAAGAAAAUGUUAAAGAGUAUCUGCAGACACAGUGGGAAGAAGAGGCCAGCGGGAGGUCAGUCUUUGGAGAAAACAGGCUGAAGAGGACGCCCAGCUGGUUGGACUGUUCCUAUCUCUGCAGCGUCUGAGAGUGGAGUGGAUGAUCCGCAACAGAUGAUCCAGGCCGUGGUAGAUAUGUGUGCUGGCAGAUGUACCUGGAUCGAAAGACCAUUGCACUCAAACAGCUGCAGGGCCACGUGUGGAGGGCGGCGUUCGCAGCUGGGAGCAGGAAAGCAGAGUUCUUCGCAGAUAUAGUUCCAGCUGUCAGGAAGCGGAGAGAGGCUGAAAUGAAGAUGUAUAUCUAUUCCCUAGCGAGUGUGGAGGCACAGAAACUGUUGUUUAGGCAUUCUACGGAGGAAGAUAUUCUUGAGCUUGUUGAUGGUCACUUUGACACCAAGAUUGGACACAAAGUGGAGAGUGAAAGUUAUAGAAAGAUUGUAGACAGCAUUGGGUGCUCAACCAAAAACAUUUUGUUUCUGACAGACGUUACUCAAGAGGCCAGGGCGGCUGAGGGAGCAGCUGUCAUGUAGCUGUAGUGGUGAGCAACACAGGAUUAACAGAUGAUAAGAAGACUUGCUACAGCCUCAUCACAUCCUUCAGCGAACUAUACCUGCCUCCCUCAACCUAGAGGAGGGUUGCUAAGGCAGACCGCACUGUUCCCAGAGUUGUCCCUGUCACAUCCGGGUUUAUUCUAAUGGUGGAAGUAACUCACUUAAAAAACAUAUACAUGUACACAUUUAUAUGCAAGUAUAUAUGUAGGCUCAAAUUAACUUUCACAGGUACAUAAGUGAAAGAAGAUUCAGUUCAGUUAAUACAAAACUUAUUUAAAGAUGCUUUAUAGUUAGAAAUUGUUUGAAAUUAUACUCUAACCCUUACUGAGGGCAAAGCGUAGUUGAUAGAAGAAAUUAAGUACCUAUCUAAUGUGCUAUGUGUACCAAGUCGUAUACUAAAAUGGAAAGCUAGUUUUGAGAAAGUAUUUAGAACCCUUGUUAUUUUAAAAAAGAAAUAUUUCAAAGACUUAUUUGCAAUAAUAAUUCAUUGCUCCUGUUUGUGAUUUUGAUUAUAACAGCUAUAUUUUAUAUUUGCCUCUCUAUAUAUAAUCAAAGAUGAAGGUAUUUAUUUCUGCUCCAAAAGAGCAAAAUUGGGAAAGAAAACUCACUUAAGUCUUGAUCAAACAAGUGUCUUUUACUUAAGAAGAAACUUGGUAAUCAUUGUGGCACCCACAACAAGCAUUUGCCUUACCAGUAAAAAAGGUGCACUGAUUUAACAGCUAGAACAGAGAUUUGGUUCUUAAUGUUUAACAGAACAGUUCUAAUCCCAUGGGGUGUUAUCAUUAUAGAUUUUAUAGUUGCCUUUCUAACUAACAUAGUUUGAGAAUCUUCUUUGCUAUUUACUAUUAAAAAACGUUUUACAGAAAUCAGUCCAUAGGAUUAAGUUGAGCCCUAAUAUGUAAGAUUUUCCUCUGGAAUGGAUGUGAGAAAUAUAAAUUUUAUAAUAGCAGUAUUUAUCUUGGUUUAAUUCUAAUAGGUUGUCAUGUUAAUUUCAUGUCAUGAUUAAUAAAAGCAUUUUU